UCUAGUUUUGCAAAUAGCCCCCUCGAACGUUUCAGUUCCAACAUCGUCCAUUAUCCCCAAAACGAAGCCGGAAGACUGCUCAACUGCUUCAUCCUUGCGGGCGUCAAGGGGUUCAAUGCCGGCCGGGGAUCUAGUGGCCGGUGGUGAAGCAGAAGCGGUGGCGGAGGGGGAGAGCGGCCAGAGGGUUUGGGCACGAAAUCAAACAGGGAAGAGGGCCUGGUGGAGGCGGCGGAGCCCAUUGACAAGGAGAAGGGGAAUCGAGGCGGCGGAGCUCGACCAGAGAGAGGAGGAAGAUGUCGCCGAUUCCUUGCCCGUCGAACCAGCAGGAAGACCCGCGGGGAACGUCUUCUUGCUCACAGAGCACUCGGAGCACUUGUGCUCCUUCGUCGGCGAUGAUGUGCUCACAGAGCUGUUGUUUAGCCGAUUGGUGACUGCGUGGUCUUCCCGGGCUUGCUGAUCUACUCCAGCCGUCAAACUUUCAGGUGUCAUUUCUCUUUCUGUUGUAAACAUGUUGCCUAAGAAGCAUUUAUCUUCUUCUUC